GCACACUCUCAAGUUCAACAAAUGGCCACAGAGGGCGAAAAAAUCGACCGCGCGCUGCUGCUAAUAAAACUAGCAUAGUAAUAUCACUUCGGGAUGCUUACGUUAGUUUGAACAUUUUCCGCUGGAGGCGCCGUAAUAAGCGCAAUUUUUUUUUUGCAAACUUUCGCCUACAAUUACCGAAGCACGUUUAUUACAUGAAAAAGAGGGCGAAAUUAUCAUUGCUAAUUUGAUAUUGUAUUCUUUGUAAGUAAGUUUAUUGUUUCUUUGUCAUUAUAAACGCAAAUAGCGUUCAGCAUCAUCGAUCUUUCACGUGACCUCUGGCCUGGAUUUAAAAUUUUUACCGGUAUUUUCGAGUGCAUGGCGGCACGGAUUCAUUCGUUCGUGCGCUCAGGCUGGUUGCUUCUUUUUCGCUAAAACUAGUUUAUUGCGCUUCGAUGUCACGCGUUAUUUAACCUGGGGUGAAGUGACGUGUUUGCAAGCGGACAUGCAAGCCCGAAAGUUGGGUAUCGGUCGUGAGCCAUUCGGAACACGUCUGCAUCGAAACGGGAGCUGGAUUCUGGUGCGGCUGACAACGGCAAUAACGACAUGCAGUAAUGAGGAUGGCACCAGUAUAAAGCAACACACUCCACACACUAAACAGAAGCUGCUGCCUGCUACAACAAGGCCAUUGUGUGGACAUUGGCUGCUACUACAAGAGUCCAUGCCAAGCAUACCUUGGUCAUCACAGGAGCUCCUAUCCACACCAACAGAAAGGGGCUGGAGCUGAAUUUGCAAGGCUUUUACACCACGAACAAAGAAGCGCAUGCAGAAGAAUUUACAUGAGAUAUCAAGUCUGCAGAGCACUGUGUCAAGACUGAAAAGAGCUUCAGCCACCAUUCCACCAGCGCGGACAAAUUGGCUGAGUCAUCCAGGUAACUCAAAAAGGACUUUAUGGAAAUUCUUCGUCUCCAGAUGUGCCUGCAACUUCUGAUCAAGCACGGACGACGCUGGCCAAAAG